GGGUAGUGAUUUUCACACUCUCAUUUUCUCCAUAUGCAUUUCUCUCCUUGUUUUUGUCACUUGAUUUUCCUUUGAUUUAUUCAUUCCUAAGGCUAAUAAAAGAGAGAAAGUGCAUAAGGAAAAAAGAGGAGUGCGAAAAUCACUUCCCGU
rnacentral:miRNA from 1 species